AGCCUUCAAAUAUUUGAUGUCACGUGAAUUUUAGUCCGAACUAAAAUACAAACACCCCUAACCAUUCUCCCCUGCGCCUCGCGUGCCCUAUCACCUGGACACCUCUGCAGCUUCGAGUGAUAUUCCCUGCUUCCCUUUCUUCUUCCUCGAAUAAUCCUGCCGCACGGCAUAUCCUCCGUUUAUCCUCUACGGUGCCGGACGAACCGUACUACUGGCGCAUCUGCUUCUGCUGCAGCUUUGUUCUGGCCUUUCGAGCUCUCUUGGUUCGCAAGCGACCCGGUAGAAGAAUCCGCACGAGAGGUUGGCAGAGGGAGAAGAUUGUUCAUCCCCUCCUUGGAAGCUUCGUGCGCCAAUCGAUCGGUACGCGAAUCUGACUGUUGCGCGUGCUGCGUUUUGUGGGGGUGGUGGUUGUUGCUUCAGUGCUUUGCUUGUGUUGCCGUUCCGCGUUUCCAAAGGCUGAUACGUCCUUGCUCGUAUUGGAGUCUCUUUUCAGUCCUAUAUAGUGUGCAGAGAAUAUGAUGCUUAGCUGAGCAACUUUAUAGGCUCCAAUCCGCUAUCGGCACACGUAUUGAACUGAGCCACCCCAACUCCUAGCUUUGGCACUAUGCAAAAAAGAUUCCCCAUCACAUCAAACUUGCGGUACAUGCAUGGAGUACUAAAUGUAGAUAAAAUUAAAAACUAAUUGCACAAUUUUGUUGUACUUUGCGAGACGAAUCUUUUGAGCCUAAUUAGUCAAUGUUUGGACAAUAAUUCACAAAUACAAACGAAACGCUAUAGUGUGCUACAGUGCUGGUACAGUAAUUUUAGCACUCCAAAUUUUGGCAACUAAAAAAACCUGAUACGUUCUCUCAAACUGUUUCAGCCAUGCGAUUUACCAAGGAAUUGACGUUCAAAAACCCUUCCCCUUUUGUCCAGGAGAAGCUUGCCAUUUGCCCGGGUGUUGACGUAUUGUGCAAGUACCUGCAGUAGUCAGUAGUGGCCGAGCCAUCUCCGAGUCCGCAGGCGCGUCAUAUCAAAAGGCGAGUGGUGCUUCCUGUUCGCUUCAGCUUAUAAGUCGGCUGAAAAGCUGAAACGGCUGAUUUGUUGUGAGAGAAAAAUAUUGUUUGGUGGCUGAUAAGCCUGCUGAAUAAGCUGAAGCGAACAUGCCGUUGUUUUGGGCUGUUCUACUUUCCUGCCUUUCUGUUCGAAGCGAUCGAGCACCGUUUUGAUAUUUUUAGCAGCGCCGGGACAACAAUGCCACUACGGAUCGGAGGUAUUCCAAAAGCCCAGUGCUCAGACACAGAUUUUCACGGCUCUAGCAAUUAGCAGGCACAGCAAAACCAGAUGCUUACUAUAAGAAUUAACACACUGGAACGCCAGGGACAAAUUCAGACAGAUCGAGAAUUACACAGUAUCGUCAUUGUAUGAGUUAUACACAUUAUUACAGUCCAAGUAGCACAAUGUUCUAAGUCAAGCGAGGGCUCGAUGGCCAAAGAGGCAAAGACACACGCACAUACACAUAUAAAAAAGAACAGAAAGACAUAAAAGCACGCGUACAUGCAUGCAACAUAGAGAUUUCAGGUUUGUAUUUGCAGACAUGCUAAGUACAUUACGUACCGCUAACAGCAGAAGCAGAUUUAGGUAGACAACUCAGCUAACAAAUGGCCCCAUGAUGGUGCGAAUUUUGAUGGAGCACGGACUAAGUUAUCGUCACCUCACCUCACCUCACCUAGCAUAAUACUGACUUCCUGGGUUCAUGGGAAGGAUCUCACCUUCCUGUGUUGGGUACCCACUAGUAUAAUCUUCUAUUGUUUCAAAGUUGGCAGGUGGUGUUCCCCCAAGAAGGCUUUGACUACUCUCCCUCUCUGCUUCGAGCUGUGCCCAAGGAUGCAGAGAAAGCUUCCUCAGUCUGCCAAGCUCGUCGGCGACCUCUUUCAUGGACGGUCUGUUAGUGCC
rnacentral:lncRNA from 1 species